CAAGGCCAAUGAUGGAACAUAAUAAAUAUGCCUACAUUGUCUGAUCAUCAUAAAAGUUUGAUUGAACAACAUGAUCUGAGGCCUUG
rfam:Capsicum annuum cultivar Zunla-1 chromosome 6, whole genome shotgun sequence